GGGGAACAAAAGCAGCAUUUGCUCUUGAAUUUCUACAAUUCGAAAUAUGGCGAUAUUCCCUCAAACGGAUUACAUGACGAUCUUUCUUGUUAUCGAACUUGCCUACACAUGCCAUGGAAGUUAUGAAGUUACACAGAAACAGCGGCCGCUAAAAACAAUCGAAGCGCGGAGAGAGUAAAGCGUCAAGAAGAGCAGAAUAAGCGAAUGAGCGGUGUAAAGCAGAUCGUAAAAGACAACAAACUUCCAAGCAUAACGAAACAGAGUCGAAGAAACAAACGAUCGACAUCGCACUGAUACGCGAAGACAUAGACAUCGAAGAAUAAACCAACACGAAAACAUGGUAGCCGCCGUUGGAUGGAUGGAUGGAUGGAUGGACGAAACUUGCCGUUAGUGUAAAGCAGACCUUUUUAAAGACAAAACGGUAAAUUUCAGUUACAUGCGAAAAAAAAAUCAAUGACAUAGAACUGCUUGAAGAAGUAGACGAAUCAUAUAUGAGCAAUACAUCAGCAACAAAGACUUUUCGAAAAGGUUUUUCGAAAAAACAAUGCAAUUGUCCACUUCAAAUCUUGUCUGGUUCCACU